GAUGAACGCUGGCGGCGUGCCUAAUACAUGCAAGUCGAGCGAACGGACGAGAAGCUUGCUUCUCUGAUGUUAGCGGCGGACGGGUGAGUAACACGUGGAUAACCUACCUAUAAGACUGGGAUAACUUCGGGAAACCGGAGCUAAUACCGGAUAAUAUUUUGAACCGCAUGGUUCAAAAGUGAAAGACGGUCUUGCUGUCACUUAUAGAUGGAUCCGCGCUGCAUUAGCUAGUUGGUAAGGCAACGGCUUACCAAGGCAACGAUGCAUAGCCGACCUGAGAGGGUGAUCGGCCACACUGGAACUGAGACACGGCCCAGACUCCUACGGGAGGCAGCAGUAGGGAAUCUUCCGCAAUGGGCGAAAGCCUGACGGAGCAACGCCGCGUGAGUGAUGAAGGUCUUCGGAUCGUAAAACUCUGUUAUUAGGGAAGAACAUAUGUGUAAGUAACUGUGUACAUCUUGACGGUACCUAAUCAGAAAGCCACGGCUAACUACGUG
rnacentral:rRNA from 1 species